UACGGGGGGGGCAAGCGUUGUUCGGAAUUACUGGGCGUAAAGGGCUCGUAGGCGGCCAACUAAGUCGGAUGUGAAAUCCCCAGGCUUAACCUGGGAACUGCAUCCGAUACUGGAUGGCUUGAAUUCGGGAGAGGGAUGCAGAAUUCCAGGUGUAGCGGUGAAAUGCGUAGAUAUCUGGAGGAACACCGGUGGCGAAGGCGGCAUCCUGGACCGGCAUUGACGCUGAGGCGCGAAAGCCAGGGGAGCAAACGGG
rnacentral:rRNA from 1 species